rnacentral:lncRNA from 13 species
UUUUUUGGUGCUUAUACUCUUUAGGUUCAUUCGUAAGAAUCUGUCUUUUUUUGUUUUCUGUCACUUGUAACAGAAUACCUGAAACUGGAUAAUUUAUAAGGGAGAGGAAUUUAUUUCUUACACUUAUGAAGACUGAGAAACCCAACAUCAAAUGGCCACAUCUGGUGAGGGCCUUCUUGCUGGUGGGGACUCUCUGCUGAGUCCUGAGGGUGUGCAGGACAUCUCAUGGUCUGUGGUAUUUGUUUAUUAUGGCAGCCCAGGCAGUCUAAGACAGGCCAUCAUAAGACGUGAACGUUUUGGACCUUCUCUUGUGAUCUAAUAAACAGAAAUCAGGUAUGUAUUUCCCUUUAUUUUUAUUUGCAAUGUGUAACCUUUAGGUUUUUAUUUAUUUAUU